CUACUCUUCUUUAUUUUAAAAAUUUUUAUUACUUAAGUAGUGUGAACAAUUAAUUUAUAGAGAGUAAUUAUAUUAUUAUUAGAAUGUUUGAAACUUAAAAGGCUUGGCGGUGUUAUAUAUCCUUCCAGGGGAGCUUGUUUAUUAAUUUGAUAAUCCCCAAUUUAUACUUACUUUUUUUUGAAUAAUUAGACAAAUCAGUUUGUGUAUUGCUGUCAUCAGUUUAUUUUGUAAAAAUUUUAUAAGAAACUUAAUAAUGAGUUAAUUACGAUGUCAAGUCAAAAUGCAGCUAAUAAAAAAGGUUUAUAAAGUGAGCUACAAUUUAUAAUUUUUAAAUCGGAUUAAAUUAUGUAAUUGAUUUAUGAAGUUGGACUUGGUAGUAAUAUUAUAAUAGUAAGUUUUUAUGAAUUAGGUUUUAUAACGCGU
rnacentral:rRNA from 1 species